ensembl:lncRNA
CGAGAUCCGGCAGGUGGUCUUUUUUUAGGUGGACUGAAAAUAAGCUGCUGCGUGUUGUUGCAGGUGGUGGUGUGGCAGAAGGCCAAGGUGUCCGAUCACAGGAUUGCUCUCAUGGCUAUGCUGUGGGCCAACGCUGUGGCCCACCUGCUUUUCAGUCCACCAUCAACAAGAACAACCAGAGGUGGUCCGGCAGCACUACCUGGCUCAGUACCCGGCAGACUCUGCCCGCAGCUGUUAUCCCACUAUGAUGCUCGACAUCACUGUUCCCGCAUCCACUGUAGACGUCAACCUGACCCCCAAGAAGACCCAGAUUCUGCACCAGAACAAGGUUCCGUUUUCUCUUUUUUUCCUCAAUUUCCUUGCGGACAGAUUCAUGUUCCACACUACCACUAUCAUUCUAUGAGCUUUGGUUGAAAGAAUACUAAACUUAGGGGAAACUAAAUAUGAUUGAGGAUGUUCGAAAGAUUUAUAAAAACGGACAGUAGCUGCAGAACCAGUUACCAGUCAAUUCAUCCUUUUCAGCUUUCUGACCGAUUCAGCUGCAAAUAUGCGAUGCAAGAUCCAGUAAACAAAUGUAUGAUUUCCCUACAUGUAGCCUCUACGGUACAGCAAGGAAUCCAUUUACUUGCUUUGGCUAGCUAACGUUACUGUCCCUUUGCCCUUUGUCCAACUAUCUCAUUUAUCUCCUCAAAAUAACUUGAUUGAUUUUCUGUGAUAAAAAUAGGAAGUGCUGACAGUAAACAGUAAGUUGCCAAUCAGUUCCUUAGCCACAUUAACUAAAUGUGCAGUUACCUGGGUGCACAGCCACUGCCUGUAAAGAAGGGAAAGUGAACAGCAUGGGCAUUAGUGUGUUAUGUUAUUUCUCACAGAGACUGUGACUGUUAGGAGGCUGUGCUGGCAGCAUUGGAGACGCUGUUGGUUUCCUUGUAUGGCCCUGGUUCGCGGUCUCCUGCUGAGGUGCCACCAGUCACUGUAGAAGAUGCCUACAGUUGCCCAUUAUCACUGGGCAACUGUAGGGGAAACGCUGACGUAGAGGACAGUCUUAUGGAGCACAGUGUCACGGUGGACAAAGCGCCAUUUGGCUACAGUGAUGGCUCUCCAUCCAGGGUAGUGGCUGGUGACCAGACAGUAAACACUAGCUCCUCCUCUUCCUCUGAAGACUGGAUAGUCAACCAAAUCCCAGGGGACUUUGACUUUUUUACUAUUGGAAGAUGAAAUUGCUUUGACCUGCAGCGAGAUAACAAAUCCAGGCCCAGCUAAAGGCCUGGAGAGGCUCAACAGCCAUGACCAACAUCCUGACAAAGACGUUGAGCAGUUAUCAGCAGUGAGUUGGAGCCGAGGCACGGCUCUGACAGACCCCUCCACAGGAGAGCCACUGCAGUCCGUCAAGGUCCACCUGCCCACCGGAUGCAGCAGUGACCUGGGCCUGGUCGAGGCCAAGGAUCAGAGCAGCCCUGGCAAAAAGGUGUCCAACGCUAUAACAGAGAAACGUGCGUCACUGAAGGCCUACAACCUGAUCAGUAGCCGUACCAUGAGGACCCCCCUGUCCCCCGCUGCCUGUUUGAGAGGGAGACCCGGGCAGAGGUUCUCCAGGUGGAGCCCGCAGCAAGCCUCCAGGACAUCACCUCUGCCGUGCAGGAGAGAUGGAAAAACCUGGGGGAGGAGGACCGAAAGAAGUGAGUUUCCAGACUUUACCUUCGAAGCAGUUUCCAUUUGUUAUUAUUAGCAAGGCAAAAAAAAGAAAGAUUGACCUGUCACUUGCAUGUGUAAAAUAUGGCCCUGGAAAUUUUGCUUGGCUUAUUCAUGUUGCUACCCAGACAGAAUUGUUAAUAUGAG